rnacentral:rRNA from 1 species
UACGGGGGGGGGCAAGCGUUGUUCGGAAUUACUGGGCGUAAAGGGUUCGUAGGUGGCUUGCUAAGUCAGACGUGAAAUCCCUCAGCUUAACUGGGGAACUGCGUCUGAGACUGGUGAGCUUGAGUGCAGGAGAGGAACGCGGAAUUCCAGGUGUAGCGGUGAAAUGCGUAGAUAUCUGGAGGAACACCGGCGGCGAAGGCGGCGUUCUGGACUGCUACUGACACUGAGGCGCGAAAGCGUGGGGAGCAAACAGG